AACGAACGCUGGCGGCAUGCCUAACACAUGCAAGUCGAACGAGACCUUCGGGUCUAGUGGCGCACGGGUGCGUAACACGUGGGAAUCUGCCCUUGGGUUCGGAAUAACAGUUGGGAAACGACUGCUAAUACCGGAUGAUGACGUAAGUCCAAAGAUUUAUCGCCCAAGGAUGAGCCCGCGUCGGAUUAGCUAGUUGGUGGGGUAAAGGCCUACCAAGGCGACGAUCCGUAGCUGGCUGAGAGGAUGAUCAGCCACACUGGGACUGAGAUACGGCCCAGACUCCUACGGGAGGCAGCAGUAAGGAAUCUUCCACAAUGGGCGAAAGCCUGAUGGAGCAACGCCGCGUGCAGGAUGACGGCCUU
rnacentral:rRNA from 1 species